rnacentral:lncRNA from 1 species
AAAUUUCGUUUUUUUAAUUUCCAGCUAGAAGAUCCGUUCCAUUUCCCUACCGAGCUGAUCAGGGAAGGAGGAAAAACCGAACGAUUCCCACUGCACGACACGAGAAAAUUCAAUUUCGAAAACAGCGCUGGAUUAGUUUACGAGGCAAUUGAAACUGUCAGAUGUAUUAAGAAUGGUCUCCUAGAGUCGCCCCGUAUGAGCCAUAAAGAAAGUCUAGUCCUGGCCAAGCUCGAAGAUGCAGUUAGGAAGCAAAUUGGAGUCCACUUUGAUGUUGAUGACCAAGAGUUUCCAUGAAAAUUUUUUUUACUCAACGUUUAUCAUUGAUUUUAAAUAGAUAUAAAAAGCAUUAAUUACAAGCAAUA